CGGACGAACGCUGGCGGCGUGCCUAACACAUGCAAGUCGAACGGUCCGGCACUCAACCGACCCUCAGUCUAGCUGUAGGUGAAGUUGAGUGCCGGAUAGUGGCGGACGGGUGAGUAACGCGUGGGCAACCAACCCUGUACAGUGGGAUAACACCGGGAAACCGGUGCUAAUACCGCAUGACACCUAGAUGGUGCAUACUGUUUAGGUUAAAGGAUUUAACCGGUACAGGACGGGCCCGCGUCCCAUUAGCUGGUUGGUGAGGUAACGGCUCACCAAGGCAACGAUGGGUAGCCGACCUGAGAGGGUGACCGGCCACACUGGGACUGAGACACGGCCCAGACUCCUACGGGAGGCAGCAGUGGGGAAUAUUGCGCAAUGGACGGAAGUCUGACGCAGCGACGCCGCGUGAGCGAAGAAGGCCUUCGGGUCGUAAAGCUCUGUUCUUGGGGACGAAUAAGAUGACGGUACCCAAGGAGAAAGCCCCGGCUAACUACGUG
rnacentral:rRNA from 1 species